UCCGCCGUGGUGUAAUUGGCAGCACUGCACCCUUUGAAGGUGUUUGUCCUGGUUCGAGUCCAGGCGGCGGAACCU
rnacentral:tRNA from 1 species